rnacentral:rRNA from 1 species
UCCCCAGACUCCUACGGGAGGCAGCAGUGGGGAAUAUUGCACAAUGGGGGGAACCCUGAUGCAGCGACGCCGCGUGGGUGAAGGAGCACCUCGGUGCGUAAAGCCCUAUCGGCAGGGAAGAAAAGCGAACAGGUUCGCCUGGACGGUACCUGACUAAGAAGCACCGGCUAACUCCGUGCCAGCAGCCGCGGUAAUACGGAGGGUGCGAGCGUUAAUCGGAAUUACUGGGCGUAAAGCGCUCGUAGGCGGUAUGUCAAGUCAAGGGUGAAAUCCCCGCGCUCAACGUGGGAACUGCCUUUGAAACUGGCAAACUGGAGUGUGUGAGAGGAUAGUGGAAUUCCAGGUGUAGGAGUGAAAUCCGUAGAUAUCUGGAGGAACAUCAGUGGCGAAGGCGACUAUCUGGCACAUAACUGACGCUGAGGAGCGAAAGCGUGGGUAGCAAACAGGAUUAGAUACCCUGGUAA